rnacentral:miRNA from 2 species
AGCUGUCUGAAAAUGUCUU